UACGUAGGGGGCAAGCGUUGUCCGGAUUUAUUGGGCGUAAAGCGCGUGUAGGCGGCCAUGCAGGUCCGCUGUGAAAACUGGAGGCUCAACCUCCAGAGGUCGGUGGAAACCGCAUGGCUAGAGUCCGGAAGAGGGGACUGGAAUUCCCGGUGUAGCGGUGGAAUGCGCAGAUAUCGGGAGGAACACCCGUGGCGAAGGCGGGUCCCUGGGACGGUACUGACGCUGAGACGCGAAAGCGUGGGGAGCGAACAGG
rnacentral:ncRNA from 2 species